rnacentral:rRNA from 1 species
UACGAAGGGGGCUAGCGUUGCUCGGAAUCACUGGGCGUAAAGCGCACGUAGGCGGAUUGCUAAGUCAGGGGUGAAAUCCUGGAGCUCAACUCCAGAACUGCCUUUGAUACUGGCGACCUUGAGUCCGGGAGAGGUGAGUGGAAUUCCGAGUGUAGAGGUGAAAUUCGUAGAUAUUCGGAGGAACACCAGUGGCGAAGGCGGCUCACCGGUCCGGUACUGACGCUGAGGUGCGAAAGCGUGGGGAGCAAACAGG